rnacentral:ncRNA from 1 species
UUCUUCGGGGUCGGGUGCAAGUCCCAACCGGCGGUAGAGUCCGCGACCCGCAUUUUGCGGCUGAUCCGGUGAGAUUCCGGAACCGACAGUAUAGUCUGGAUGAGAGAAGAG